CAAGACGCGGACUGACGCCGAUUUCCGCGGCCAGUUCAUGCUGGUCUAUUUCGGAUUCACGUAUUGCCCGGACAUCUGCCCGACGGAUCUUCAGCAAAUCGGGCUGGCGAUGGAGCAACUCGGCGACGAUGCGAAGCAUGUCCAGCCGCUGUUCGUCACGCUCGAUCCCGAGCGCGACACCGCCGAGCAUCUCGCGCAAUACGUCCCGCUGUUUCAUCCGCGGCUGCUCGGCCUGACCGGCGGCAACGCCGAUAUUGCGAAAGCAGCCGACGCCUAUCGGGUCUACUACAAACGGGUCA
rnacentral:misc_RNA from 1 species